rnacentral:lncRNA from 1 species
CCCGGGUUCACGCCAUUGUCCUGCCUCAGCCUCCCGAGUAGCUGGGACCACAGGCGCCCGCCACCAUGCCCGGCUAAUUUUUUUUUUUUUUUUUUUUUGUAUUUUUACUAGAGAUGGGGUUUCAUCGUGUUAGCCAGGAUGGUCUCAAUCUCCUGACCUCGUGACCCGCGCGCCUCAGCCUCCCAAAGUGCUGGGAUUACAGGCAUGAGCCACCGUGCCCAGCCGCUCUCUGACUUCUUUUACCUAAUUCACAGUAUUUCUCUGAGGGUCAAAUAAGAUCAAGAACAAGAUGCGAAAACUACAAAGUGCAUUUUAAAAUAGGUGAUUACUGGGAUUUUUUUUUAGUAUUUGAUUUUUUUAUAGUAUGAUCAUUGCUUUUUGUUUCUUCAUUUGUUUUUGAGACACAGUCUCACUCUGUCACCCAGGCUGGAGCAAAGUGGUGCGAUCUCUGGCUCAUUGCCUCCCAGGUUUAAGUGAUUCUCCCGCCUCAGCCUUCCAAGUAGCUGGGAGUACAGGCGCCUGCCACCACACCUGGCUAAUUUUUGUAUUUUUAGUAGAGACAGGGUUUCACCAUGUUGGCCAGGCUGGUCUUGAACUCCUGACCUUAAGUGAUCCGCCCACCUCAGCCUCCCAAAGUGCUGGGAUUACAGGCAUGAGCCACCGUACCUGGCCUGAUUAUUGAUACUCCACACAAAACACAGAAAAUACAACACAAAUAUGGAAACUAUUAAACAAUUAUUUCAGGUUUUAAUUCACAAAAAUGCACCCAGUAUGGAUCCUAGUUUUUUGUUUUUUUUGUAUUUUUUUUUGUAAUUUCCUAAAUGUACUGGGAUAAAAUAUUUCUGAAAAAAUAAGCUCUAUAAAAAUUUUCAAUUAAGGUUAUAUUUGAUCAUCAUAGUAGUACAGCCCAACAAAACAGUUUUACCUAAAGUAACAUGAAAAAUAUAAUUUCUGUUUCACCCUUAAAAAAUGUGUGUUUGUAUUUAUGUACUUCCAAAACUUUUUCUUAUCAACUAAUAAGAUCAGGUCACGUUAAGUCUAUUGAUCUCACCUUUCACUGUAAUAUCUGCUUUGGCAACUGUUCCUUAGAUACAAUGUUCUCCAAACUCAAAAGUUAUUUCCCCACUGGAUAGGUGAUUUUGUACUGUUUAUAUUAAACUUUAUCUCUUUUCUUCUAAGAGCAGCUCCCCCAGGUAGUCAAGUCUGUUCCAUGUUAGCUUACUUUCAAAUUAAGUCACCUUCUGGCAUGACACAAUUAUAGAGCACAUUAAUAACUGCAGGCACCUGCAGAAUAAAUUCAAACGCAUUCCUUUCCCUCCCCCUCUCUUGAUAUAUACCUGCAAAACUGUCUAAAAAUUCUAUAAAAUCUAAAACUCAAAAAUGGUCUUCUCUAUAUUCCUGUGUUCCUCCUUACUGAUACUAGGUUCUAAUACUCUGUCUUCUAAAACCUGGCAACACUAUCUAAUCUAUUCUCACCCUGUGAUGACUGUGACUGCUGAAACCUCAUUUUCAUAGUCCAACAUUCAAAUCUUCAAUUGUUGCUUGACAAACUCAGUUAUCAUGGAAUAGCUACCUGAAGAAAACAGCUGAAUUCAGUACACUAUUUUCAGUGACUGCAAAACUAUAAUACACAAUACAGAUAUUUUUCACAUAAACUAGGUGUAAAAAUACAAUGUUCACACUUCAUAUGAGAAUAUUUUAUUUCUAGAAAUAAAUCUUCACCAGUCCAAACACGUAAGUUUACAGAAAGUCAGUAAGAAAUCAUUAUAUUUAUAUAGCACCUUGACCACUACAAAAGCUGCUCACUGAUAAUAUCAGAAAUAAUCAAUAGGCUUAUAACACUGCCAAAAUGGUAGCAGAGUAUCGUGUGUCUAUUGAGUCUGAAAUUAAAUUGCAAUUUAAGGUCCAUCUCUUAAAGCUAUAUUCAUGUAUUUAGAACUCUAUCAAACAAAACAAGAAAAAAAUUACUUUGACGUACAUCUUUUAAAGAUGAAUAUGAAACUUUGGACAAUAAAUACUACUCUCCCGAAUCAACUUUUAAAGUGCAACCAUCUUUUAAUGAUAGUUAACUGCUUUAAGAAAGCAAUAAACUAAAAUGUAAACCUGAAAGCCCACUAUCUUAAGCUCUUUUAAAAAUUAAAUACACCAGCAACAUUUUGAGACUCAAAAUUAAUUUACUUCACUCAAUCCUAUGCAUAAGUUUGGCAAUUUGUUUCAGAUGCUAUUUUUUCUGUAAUUUUUGUGGGUACAUAGUAGGUGUAUAUAUUUAUGGGCUAUAUAAGAUGUUUUGAUACAGGCAUGUAAUGUGAAACAAGCACAUCAACAAGAAUGGGGUAUCCAUCCCCUAAAACAUUUGUCCUUUGGGCUACAUGUCAUUUCCUAAUGUAAAGAAAAUGGACAGACAGAACCAACAUUGAUUUGACUGGGUGAAAAAGUCCAUUUGAGUUGGGAGCAGGGGUUGUGUUCCUGGAUUUGGGUUGUUAGGACAGUAUAAAAAGGCUUCACAGGGGAACAUUCUUUUCUGAUAAAGGAAAGCAGCUGGGUUGGCUUCAAAUAGCAGUGACUUUACUUGGAAUAUUCACAGGUAAGCUGCAAAUAUAAAACACCUUCCACAGAGUGUUAUUUUGUAAUCGGGGCUUAUCUCAAGUGCAAGAACCUCCAGCCUACAGCUUUAGUAGGUGCCUCGGACACUGUGCCCGGCUUUAGUAGGUGCCGCGGACACUGCGCCCGGCUUUAGUAGGUGCCUCGGACACUGUGCCCGGCUUUAGUAGGUGCCUCAAACACUGUGCCCACGUACUCUGAAUGGCGUAUACACAAUGAUAAUAAAAGAUAACACAGUGUUUGCUAAGUGCCAGGUACAACUACAGGUACCGUACCAGAUAGAAACUGUUAUUAUAACCAUUUGACAGAUAAAAACACUAAAGCACACGGAGAUGAGUGAAUUUGCCCAAGGUCACAUAGACAGUAAGCAGUAUGAAGAAACAUAUGUAUAACUGCACUGACUCUAAAAUAUUAUAAAUUUAUUCUGUUAAAGGUUUCUGUUUAAAAAAAAAUCCAUGU